UUAAACUGAGCAGUGUGAGCAGCAGACGCAGCUGAGACAGAAGAGACUUGCGACUGAGAAGGCUAUAGGCUCUGUGAUGCUAGCGAAUGGGCUUGAUUACCUUGUAAACCUUGAUGUAUGUGGAAGUAUUCAUGUCAAGUGGAUAGUCUAGAAAACAUCAGUGUUGCCAAACUAAAUUCCAGCAACCAUGGAAAGGCCAACUUCAAUAACUGACUCAGGACAAGGGAGUGAAAAAGGUGGGAGGAAAGAAGGAAGGGAGAAGACAGGUGGGGGAGGUGAAGGGGUGCGAGGAAGAGGAGCAG